rfam:Ajellomyces capsulatus H143 genomic scaffold supercont2.20, whole genome shotgun sequence.
UCCCAUAUGGUGUAGUGGCUAACAUCAGCGUCUCUCACACGCUAGCCGGGGGUUCGAUUCCCCCUAUGGGAG